CAUGGCUCAGAUUGAACGCUGGCGGCAUGCCUUACACAUGCAAGUCGAACGGCAGCAUGAUCUAGCUUGCUAGAUUGAUGGCGAGUGGCGAACGGGUGAGUAAUACAUCGGAACGUGCCCUGUAGUGGGGGAUAACUAGUCGAAAGAUUAGCUAAUACCGCAUACGACCUGAGGGUGAAAGUGGGGGACCGCAAGGCCUCAUGCUAUAGGAGCGGCCGAUGUCUGAUUAGCUAGUUGGUGAGGUAAAGGCUCACCAAGGCGACGAUCAGUAGCUGGUCUGAGAGGACGAUCAGCCACACUGGGACUGAGACACGGCCCAGACUCCUACGGGAGGCAGCAGUGGGGAAUUUUGGACAAUGGGGGCAACCCUGAUCCAGCAAUGCCGCGUGUGUGAAGAAGGCCUUCGGGUUGUAAAGCACUUUUGUCCGGAAAGAAAUCGCACUUACUAAUAUUAGGUGUGGAUGACGGUACCGGAAGAAUAAGGACCGGCUAACUACGUGCCAGCAGCCGCGGUAAUACGUAGGGUCCAAGCGUUAAUCGGAAUUACUGGGCGUAAAGCGUGCGCAGGCGGUUGUGCAAGACCGAUGUGAAAUCCCCGGGCUUAACCUGGGAAUUGCAUUGGUGACUGCACGGCUAGAGUGUGUCAGAGGGGGUAGAAUUCCACGUGUAGCAGUGAAAUGCGUAGAGAUGUGGAGGAAUACCGAUNGCGAAGNCAGCCCCCUGGGAUACACUGACGCUCAUGCACGAAAGCGUGGGAGCAAACAGGAUUAGAUACCCUGGUAGUCCACGCCCUAAACGAUGUCAACUAGUUGUUGGGGAUUCAUUUCCUUAGUAACGUAGCUAACGCGUGAAGUUGACCGCCUGGGGGAGUACGGUCGCAAGAUUAAAACUCAAAGGAAUUGACGGGGACCCGCACAAGCGGUGGAUGAUGUGGAUUAAUUCGAUGCAACGCGAAAAACCUUACCUACCCUUGACAUGCCACUAACGAAGCAGAGAUGCAUUAGGUGCUCGAAAGAGAAAGUGGACACAGGUGCUGCAUGGCUGUCGUCAGCUCGUGUCGUGAGAUGUUGGGUUAAGUCCCGCAACGAGCGCAACCCUUGUCUCUAGUUGCUACGAAAGGGCACUCUAGAGAGACUGCCGGUGACAAACCGGAGGAAGGUGGGGAUGACGUCAAGUCCUCAUGGCCCUUAUGGGUAGGGCUUCACACGUCAUACAAUGGUGCAUACAGAGGGUUGCCAAGCCGCGAGGUGGAGCUAAUCCCAGAAAAUGCAUCGUGGUCCGGAUCGUAGUCUGCAACUCGACUACGUGAAGCUGGAAUCGCUAGUAAUCGCGGAUCAGCAUGCCGCGGUGAAUACGUUCCCGGGUCUUGUACACACCGCCCGUCACACCAUGGGAGUGGGUUUUGCCAGAAGUAGUUAGCCUAACCGCAAAGGGGGGCGAUUACCAC
rnacentral:rRNA from 1 species